rnacentral:lncRNA from 1 species
AAAGGCGGGAGAGGCUGUUACUUUCUUCUUUCCGAGUCCCAACUAAUAGCUCAUGAAUACGGCUGGGGGUGAAGGAGCCGGGGCCUCACUCGGAGGGGAGUGAUUUACGAGGGAGAGGCGUAUUAAAUCCUGGGCCUGGGUGCUGCNGCAGCCAAGCUCUCCUGCAGUAAAUCACCUUGGCUUAAUGCAUUCCUGCCGCAUGGGGCGAGAGCAACCCCGAGUAAUUUACACUCCGCUGUGCGUGUAAUGUCCGGCGUGCGGCUACAGAGCUAAAUAUGCUGUUUGUCCACAGCACCGGGCGUGCUGCUGUCCUUCAAUCACACGCUCUGUUUCUUGCAAUAACACCCCCCCCGAGCCCCCCCUCCACCUAGACAUACAAGUGUAGGAUGGGCCGCAACGGUUCAUCUUUUUCCCUUUUUCCUGCUCAAAGGAAAUCAGUUUUCUGCUUUUCUGCAUAAUGCAGUAUUGCGUCCAAGUACGGUAUGCGCUUACCCUGGGGCAGGGGCCUUAAUGGAAGAAAUGCCUCCGCUCCGGGGGGGCUGCUGGCUAAUGGCACAGGAUGGUCAUCAGGACACCACGCCCUGAGUACGGAAGGAGGCCACGGCAGCCCUAAGGCGUCCCGACGGGCACCAAAGCCGGAGCAUGAGCACAGACGUGAGGAUGAGGAUGGAGAAGGCCUCGUGCAGCUCCCUCCUGGUGCCAAGCAAGGGGUGGGCGUGAGCAAACUGGAACACUCGCCCCCUUGCACAGGAUACCAGCACAGUACUGCAGCGUGCCCCUCCAAACCAACAUGCGGGGAGAGAGCCACAGCCUGGGCAGUUCAGGGUCACGACUCCAGGGAGGGUGGAAGGGACAUGGAUAAGCAAGCUUCGCCUCUGGACCCAGCAAAAGACUCGAGCCUCUUUUGCUUCACCUUCUGGUUCAGCCUUCAGAUCCUGGAAUCCUAGAACCAGGGGCGGUUGAGCCCGUGGGGUCCAUCUCCUUCUCCGCGCAGGAUCCAAACCAAAGAACCUCCAGGAAAUGCUGUCCAGCCUCUGGAGGGAGAGAGGAGGCAACGGCCUCCACAGCCUGGGGCUCCAACUGCCGAGCUGCUCUGCCUGCAAGGAAGGGACUUGCUUCUGCCCAGGGAUCUACCUUGGGGCAACUGGCCUCCAUUAUCCUGCCUUCUGCUGCUGAGACAAAGCUCCCCUCACAGUGCAGAAGGAUCAGACCUGUUCUCACUUGCACAAGGAAGGACUAGAAGCAACGGGAUGAAACUGCAGGGGAAAAGAUUCAGAUUAGAUGUUAGAAAAAAAAUUAUGACAGUAAGGACGAUCAACCAGUGGAAUAGGUUGCCGCAGGAGGUGGUGAGUUCCCCUUCGAUGGAGGUCUUCAA